rnacentral:lncRNA from 1 species
UGCUGGGUUUUGCCUAAGAUUCGAAGCCUAAAGCUCUGAAUUCUGACCUCCCUGAUUACUGACUGAGGAAACAAUAUCCCCAAAAUGGAAAGCUCCAGGUCUGUGUGCUUAGAUUUAGGCUCCAAGGACUGAACACCCUGCAUGUAAGGUGUGUGUCUAAGCAGUAUUUAUGACAUAACAAACCAGCCAAGAGCUGGAGGUUCUGAUCAGCAAAUAAGGAAGGAACAACAUCUGACAUCUUUACCCACUUUAACUGAAAGUUCCCACAAUAAUCUCAUCAUGAGGCUCACUCGUUCUCACCUCCAGAGUUCUGGGGGGUAAAAUAAUACAUAAAUGCAAGGAUUAUCUUAUAUAUACACCAAGGGAAAGGAAAUACUGCCUAUUAAGAAUUAGCAGCUAACAGCUGGGCGCGGUGGCUCACACCUGUAAUCCCAGCACUUUGGGAGGCCAAGGCAGGCGGAUCACAAGAUCAGGAGUUCGAGACCAUGCUGGCUAACAAGCAUCAAGCAAAGAACUUGUAAUACGCUGAAUGCUGCAUAGAAGGUUUUGAAACUACUUACCUGCUGUGGAACACCUGUAUAACUUUAAAAUGCAUCAAUCAAUCUCGAGAGUAUGAUCAUGCUUCCUGCUUUUAAGGAUCUGAAGUUAACUGCAACUCCAAGUAUACAAGACUUCUUUGGGACCCAUGGAAGCAUCUCUACAUGCUCAUGUUUGCCAGAUUCAGUGGCCUCCUGAAACCUGGCCCUAGCUAAUAAGUUAAAAAGCUCUAAGUAAUCCCGAGCUGCAUUUGAAUCUCCAAGAUCACUUGUUCAUGGGUUGGUAAUACUUUAAAGAGCCAUUUGUUUAACUGCUAAUCUGGAUCUUAUAUUCUGAGCCCCAGCUUUUUUCUAAAGCAAAGAAAAUACAAAAUAAAAGUAAGACCAAAUGCCUUUGUACCAUGGAGAGAGAAAUGACUCAUUGGAAUGCUUCUGUUUUUCAUCACAUCAAAGAUGCAUCAACAUAAAUCAACCAUUAUAUCAUGCACCAUGAUAAAAAAGGGGGAUAAAAGUCCCCAAACCACUGCCAAUUAAACCAACACAGUGCCUUUGUAUUAUUCAGAAUUUUUAUCUUAGCCUUAUUGAAAGAGCUUUUUUAGAACAUAUUUAAACAAUUCUGUCAUAUUUCAUUCUUGCAUACUCAUUAAAAAGGAAAAUAUGAGAGAUACAAAUGAA